rnacentral:rRNA from 1 species
CCUACGGGCGGCAGCAGUGAGGAAUAUUGGUCAAUGGGCGCGAGCCUGAACCAGCCAAGUCGCGUGAGGGAGGACGGCCCUACGGGUUGUAAACCUCUUUUGCCGGGGAGCAACGGGCGUCACGUGUGGCGCCACUGAGAGUACCCGGAGAAAAAGCAUCGGCUAACUCCGUGCCAGCAGCCGCGGUAAUACGGAGGAUGCGAGCGUUAUCCGGAUUUAUUGGGUUUAAAGGGUGCGUAGGCGGAUGUUUAAGUCAGUGGUCAAAUUGCGGGGCUCAACCCUGUCCCGCCGUUGAAACUGGGGAUGUUGAGUGGGAGAGAAGGAUGCGGAAUGCGUGGUGUAGCGGUG